GCGUGGAUAGGUCAAUGGCUAGACUUUCUGCCCUCCAAGCAGAAUAUCCGGGUUCGAAUCCCGGUCCGCGCA
rfam:Archaeon GW2011_AR13 QT05_C0053, whole genome shotgun sequence.